AAGAGACAGCAGUCGCCACGGUAAUACGGAGGGUGCAAGCGUUAAUCGGAAUUACUGGGCGUAAAGCGCACGCAGGCGGUUUGUUAAGUCAGAUGUGAAAUCCCCGAGCUUAACUUGGGAACUGCAUUUGAAACUGGCAAGCUAGAGUCUUGUAGAGGGGGGUAGAAUUCCAGGUGUAGCGGUGAAAUGCGUAGAGAUCUGGAGGAAUACCGGUGGCGAAGGCGGCCCCCUGGACAAAGACUGACGCUCAGGUGCGAAAGCGUGGGGAGCAAACAGGAUUAGAUACCCCGGUAGUCCCUGUCUCUUAUAC
rnacentral:rRNA from 1 species